GCCCUUGGACACGGUGGAUGUGAUCUCAUACAUCCUUGCUGGGCUAGAUGAUGAAUAUGACGGCUUUGUUGCUGCGAUCAAUGCACUUCUCAAGGCAGAAAAGCAUGUGAGCUUGAGUGAUGUCUAUUCUCAGUUCAUGACAUAUGAGU